CAUUUUCUUAGCCAGUAGAAGCUUUAUUACCAGUGUAGCAUAACAAAAGAUGCAACACAAACUGCAAAAUGGCUCACUGAUUACAUAACAACUUGAUUAUGCUGGUGUUAACUAAUCGGACUUCAGAAGAGAAAGACCCUAAAAUUCAGCUAUAGUGACCUCUAUUUGACAGUGGUCAAACAGGAAGGCAGGUCAUGAGAGAGGGGGAACACAUGUGGCAAAGACACAAGUUCAUAAGCAGAGCUGCAGAAUACUCCAGGGUGUAGUCACUGAGGCAGUCCGAGUCCUGCAGCUCAUCCACAAGCCAAC